rnacentral:rRNA from 1 species
UGCCUACGGGACGCAGCAGUGGGGAAUAUUGGACAAUGGGGGGAACCCUGAUCCAGCGACGUCGCGUGAAGGAAGAAGGCUUUCGGGUUGUAAACUUCUUUUAAGGGGGAAGAGCAGAAGACGGUACCCCUUGAAUAAGCCACGGCUAACUACGUGCCAGCAGCCGCGGUAAUACGUAGGUGGCAAGCGUUGUCCGGAUUUACUGGGUGUAAAGGGCGUGCAGCCGGAGAGACAAGUCAGAUGUGAAAUCCACGGGCUCAACCCGUGAACUGCAUUUGAAACUGUUUCCCUUGAGUGUCGGAGAG